rnacentral:misc_RNA from 1 species
UACGUAGGGCGCAAGCGUUAUCCGGAAUUAUUGGGCGUAAAGAGCUCGUAGGCGGUUUGUCGCGUCUGCCGUGAAAGUCCGGGGCUUAACUCCGGAUCUGCGGUGGGUACGGGCAGACUUGAGUGAUGUAGGGGAGACUGGAAUUCCACGUGUAGCGGUGAAAUGCGUAGAUAUGUGGAGGAACACCAGUGGCGAAGGCAGGUCUCUGGGCUGUAACUGACGCUGAGGAGCGAAAGCAUGGGGAGCGAACAGG